rnacentral:rRNA from 1 species
UACGGAGGGUGCAAGCGUUAAUCGGAAUUACUGGGCGUAAAGCGCGCGUAGGCGGUUUGUUAAGUCGGAUGUGAAAGCCCUGGGCUCAACCUGGGAACUGCAUUCGAUACUGAUCGACUAGAGUACGAGAGAGGGAGGUAGAAUUCCACGUGUAGCGGUGAAAUGCGUAGAUAUGUGGAGGAAUACCGGUGGCGAAGGCG